CACUGUUGGUUCUCAGAUGGUGGCUGUCGAUGAUGGAAUGAAAUAUUGAUAAGAUUUUCCGCGGGCGGGAAUAAUAACGGCUCAAGAUGGCGAAAUACGCGUUGAGCCUUUGUUUGAUCAUCUUGUCAGUCUUUGCGAGUACGUCGUGGGCAGCACCUGCAGCGGGCCCCAGCCCCAACCCCGCCCCCGCUCCCAUCGCGUACGACCUUGGAGGAAUCCUGAACGCCGUCCUGAAGAUCUUAUACGCUCUCCUGCGAGGGGAGAACGUCGGCCUCCAUAAGAUCCUAGGAUAAAUAAAAAACCUCCCGAACUCAAACGCAAACCCAACCACCACACCCAAGGAGAGGACCGCAUACUUUCAUGCGCUUAAAAUGAUACAUACGAUUAUAACACCUUUUAAUGUAUAUGUUGUACACUGGACGAUAAGUGAUAAUAUAAGUGUAAAUUAGGAAAAUAAAUUUAAUAAAAUAUUAUUCUGUA